rnacentral:rRNA from 1 species
GUUGGUGUCGAUGACGCCGAGGGUACACCCGUUCCCAUCUCGAACACGGUAGUUAAGCUCGGUGGUGCCAAAGAUACUUAGCUGGUGACGGCUUGGGAAAAUAGGGAGAUGCCAACG